UACGUAGGGUGCGAGCGUUAAUCGGAAUUACUGGGCGUAAAGAGUGCGUAGGCGGUUUCUCAAGUCCGCUGUGAAAUCCCCGGGCUCAACCUGGGAACUGCAUUUGUGACUGCACGGCUGGAGUGCGGCAGAGGGGGAUGGAAUUCCGCGUGUAGCAGUGAAAUGCGUAGAUAUGCGGAGGAACACCGAUGGCGAAGGCAAUCCCCUGGGCCUGCACUGACGCUCAUGCACGAAAGCGUGGGGAGCAAACAGG
rnacentral:rRNA from 1 species